rnacentral:rRNA from 1 species
GACGAACGCUGGCGGCGUGCUUAACACAUGCAAGUCGAACGGUGAACCAGAGCUUGCUCUGGGGAUCAGUGGCGAACGGGUGAGUAACACGUGGGCAACCUGCCCCAGACUCUGGGAUAACCUCGGGAAACCGAUGCUAAUACCGGAUACGACCACUUCGGACAUCCGACGGUGGUGGAAAGUUUUUCGGUCUGGGAUGGGCCCGCGGCCUAUCAGCUAGUUGGUGGGGUAAUGGCCUACCAAGGCGACGACGGGUAGCCGGCCUGAGAGGGCGACCGGCCACACUGGAACUGAGACACGGUCCAGACUCCUACGGGAGGCAGCAGUGGGGAAUAUUGCACAAUGGGCGAAAGCCUGAUGCAGCGACGCCGCGUGAGGGACGACGGCCUCGGUUGUAACCGUACUUCUAGCAGGACGAAGCGAAAGUAGACUGUACCUGCAGAAGAAGACACCGGCGUAACUACGUG